rnacentral:rRNA from 1 species
CACGUAGGGGGCAAGCGUUGUCCGGAAUCAUUGGGCGUAAAGAGCUCGUAGGCGGCUGUUCAAGUCGAACGUGAAAACUCGGAGCUCAACUCCGAGCCUGCGUUCGAUACUGGACGGCUAGAGUCUGGUAGGGGGAUCUGGAAUUCCUGGUGUAGCGGUGGAAUGCGCAGAUAUCGGGAGGAACACCGGUGGCGAAGGCGGCGACCUGGGUAGAUACUGACGCUGAGGCGCGAAAGCGUGGGGAGCAAACAGG